rnacentral:misc_RNA from 1 species
AAGUCAUAACAAGGUUUCCGUAGGUGAACCUGCGGAAGGAUCAUUAAUGAUGCCCUCAAAGUCUUCGGACGGGUAGGGUUUGUGUCGGUCUCUUCGGAGUCGACCUUAUCUCACACACCGUGAACUGUGGCUUCGGCCAUUUACACAAACUGUUAGUAAUGAAUGUAAUAUCAUAACAAACAUAAAACUUUUAACAACGGAUCUCUUGGCUCUC